rnacentral:rRNA from 1 species
AUGUACCAGGCGAUCCCCUACAGCGCCGGCCGGCUGCCGGUGUGCCUGCGGCGGUCCGAGCAGGCCGAGGCCGAGGGCGCGGCCGGUCAGGAGGAUGGGCUCGCGGCUCGCCGACGCGGCGGCAAGGGGCCACAGCGGGAGGCGGUGAGGAGGGCGGUGGCAGAGAGCCUGGUGCUAGUGGUGGGGAGGCGCAUGUGCUGCCUCAGUCACGUGGUGAAGCGGCUGCUGUAGGGGCUCGGGCUAAACCCCGCCGUGCACGAGGUUGCCGACAAGGACGAGCUCACCGCGGCGGCCGUCGUCGCGCUGCCGACGGUGUUCGUCGGUGGGAGGCUCCUCGGCGGGCUCGAUCGGCUCAUGGCCGUGCACAUCUCCGGCGAGCUCGUGCCCAUACUCAAGGACGCCGGCGCGCUCUGGCUCUAA